CCCGCUGAACUUAAGCAUAUCAAUAAGCGGAGGAAAAGAAACUAACAAGGAUUCCCCUAGUAACUGCGAGUGAAGCGGGAAGAGCUCAAAUUUGAAAUCUGGCGGUUCUGCCACCGUCCGAGUUGUAAUCUAGAGAAGUCCUCCCUGUGCUGGACCGUGUUCAACUCUCCUGGAAUGGAAGCAUCACAGAGGGUGAGAAUCCCGUCUUUGACACGGACCGCCUGCGCGUUAUGGUGUGCUCUCGAAGAGUCGAGUUGUUUGGGAAUGCAGCUCACAAUGGGUGGUAAAUGCCAUCUAAAGCUACAUAAUGGCGAGAGACCGACAGCGAACAAGUACCGUGAGGGAAAGAUGGCAAUAACUUUGGAGAGAGAGUUAAACAGUAUGUGUAAUUGCUGAAAGAGAAUCGCUUGAAGUCAGUCGCGUCGGACAUUAAUCAGCCUUGCUCUUGCUUCAUUUACUUUCUUGUUGAUGCGGCAGCAUCUAUUUCGACCGUCCAAUAAAGUCAUUCAGGAAGCAGGCAUCGCCGGAUGUAAUAUAGCCUGCGCGCACCUACGUUGGACCGGAUUAAGGAACUCCGCACUCCGCUAGUCCCGUCCUUUUUUGAACACGCCCGUCCUUAGAAAGUAGAGGUAAAUGCUUUGACCGCCAAUUCUUUUAACACCGAAGGGGGGAUUUAUUGGCAGUUAAUUUCAAUUCGUUUUAUAGGGGGUCGAUUGGAAAACCCCUGGGCGUCCCUUUUUAACGCGCCUUACGGGGAAAACCCCCUUUUUGCCCCCAGCCUAAUUGGCCUUAAGGCCCCCCCCCCUUUCCCCCUUCCCGGAGAAUUGGGCAAAAAAUCCCCCACCGGAUUUUCAAUUUCCACCCCUUUAAAAAAC
rnacentral:rRNA from 1 species